rnacentral:piRNA from 1 species
UGAAAAGACCAGAGCCAAGAUGCAGCC